AACGAACGCUGGCGGCAGGCCUAACACAUGCAAGUCGAGCGGAGCGGCGGACGGGGGAGUAAUGCCUAGGAAUCUGCCCGGUAGUGGGGGACACCGUCCGGAAACGGGAGCUAUUACAACAUACUAUCAGAUCAGCCUCGGUCGGAUUAGCUAGUUGGUGGGGUAAAGGCUUACCAAGGCGACGAGCCGUAACUGGUCUGAGGGGAUGAUCAGUAACACGGGAACUGAGGCACGGUCCAGACUCCUACGGGAGGCAGCAGUGGAGAAUAUGGGACAAUUGGCGAAAGCCUGAAGCAGCCAUGCCGCGUGUGUGAAGAAGGUCUUCGGAUUGUAAAGCUCUUUAAGUUGGGAGGCGUUACCAGCAGAAGAAGCACCGGCUAACUACGUGCCAGCAGCCGCGGUAAUAC
rnacentral:rRNA from 1 species